rnacentral:rRNA from 1 species
GAUGAACGCUGGCGGCGUGCCUAAUACAUGCAAGUCGAGCGAACAGACGAGGAGCUUGCUCCUCUGACGUUAGCGGCGGACGGGUGAGUAACACGUGGAUAACCUACCUAUAAGACUGGGAUAACUUUAGGAAACCGGAGCUAAUACCGGAUAAUAUAUUGAACCGCAUGGUUCAAUAGUGAGAGACGGUUUUGCUGUCACUUAUAGAUGGAUCCGCGCCGCAUUAGCUAGUUGGUAAGGUAACGGCUUACCAAGGCGACGAUGCGUAGCCGACCUGAGAGGGUGAUCGGCCACACUGGAACUGAGACACGGUCCAGACUCCUACGGGAGGCAGCAGUAGGGAAUCUUCCGCAAUGGGCGAAAGCCUGACGGAGCAACGCCGCGUGAGUGAUGAAGGUCUUCGGAUCGUAAAACUCUGUUAUUAGGGAAGAACAAAUGUGUAAGUAACUAUGCACGUCUUGACGGUACCUAAUCAGAAAGCCACGGCUAACUACGUG